ensembl:lncRNA
GCAGUUUAUUAAAAUAUUCACAUACAUUUGGGUGUAGAAAUGCUUUUCACUCAACAGAGAAACAGAAAAAUAGGAAGAAAGGGAAAGGAGGAAAUUAGAAGGAAGGUAGAUUAAGGGAAAGAUUAAUCCUAAGCAAAAUAAACCAUAACUAAGGAUAAUAUUUGUAGCUUUUUUUUGUAUUGGCAAUGAAUUAGAAAUUGAAGAUUUCUAAUGAUUAAUUAAGAAUUGAUGAUUAAUGACUGAACAAGUUAUGGUAUAUACAUGUGAUGGGAUAUUGUUGUGUUGUAAAAAUGCUGAAGAUAGUUUCAGAGAAAACAGAUUUGCAAGAACUGAUGCAGAGUGAGGCAAAUAGAAUCAAGAGAAUAGAUUAUAUGACAACAAUAUUAUAAAGACAAACAAAUUUGAAAGUCUUGAGAAUUCUGAUCAGCAGAAUGACCAAUUAUAAUAUUCUCUCUAAAAUGUAAUGUUUUCUGUUGAGGUUUUCUUGGGGUCUCUGGAGGCAGCUUUCCUUUCAGUUCAGUAAUCACCACACUGAUUAGCCAGGAGUUAAAGUCCAAAUCCUUUAUUGUCUCUUUCAAAGUCCUAAUCACAAAGUCCUAUCACAAAGUCCUAUUCAAAGUCCUAUCACUUUGAACGAGAUGAGGCGAGAUCUUUCAAGAUAGUUGUGAAAAUCGAGUAAGGCUUCAUCUACUUUAGAGCUUGAGUAGGCCUGAAGGAUUUUGAGCACUGAUCCAAGGGCAUAUCUAAGUCCCCUUCCUGCUAUCCCAUGACAUCAUUUUCUCCCUAUUUCAAUCAGAUAUGGGCAACUAUGUACUUAUUGGUCAAAUUCAAUUUCUUGGGUAGUUCCCAUGUUUAGAAUGUGAGACCCUCAUCCUCAUUGGCUGAGGGUCGGUGGUGGAAGGAGGUAUUUGCAUUAGGGAUUAAAGUGUUAACCUGCCCUCAGCAGGUGCUUCCUCCCUUCAAUCUGCUCGAGGAGUGGGACCCCCUUCUCUCCAGAAUGGAUAAUAAACUUUGUUUGCUUCUAGAGAUCUCUCCAGCUUUUAUUAAAUGAUGACCCCUCACCAUUUCUGAACCACACAACUUGGAACUCGGCUAGUUUUCUGGAGGCCUUCCUCUCUUCUUGGUUCUGUGUGCUUGAGCUCCUGCCUCCUUCUCUAACCUCUGAAUCUCUCUGAAUUCCAAGGAUUUGUGCUUCAGGCUGCAGCCACCACAAAGGUGGACCAUGGAAUGAAUCUGUCUCAGCCUCCAAGGACCUUCUAGUGCGCUUGUCCUUUCUGGCUCUGAGAGCUUCUCGCUUAUAUGCCCCACACUGAGUACAAACCAAUCAUUAUAUCACUAGGAAACCAUUAUUUGUUGUAGGAUUAAAUCAAUGCUAAAUGAGAUUUAACCAUUAUCUCUUCAAUUCCACUUAGUACCUUGUUUCAAGUUCUGGCCCAUAACAUCUCCUCAUAGGAUUGUCUCUAUCAAUUCUAAUGACUUAGUACCUUGUUUCAGGUUCAGAGUUAUAGCCCAUAACUAGUCUUGUGCUUAUCCAUCUCCUGAGAAGAGAUGGACUAAGAAUAAAGAUUGAGUCAUGAUUGGGGAUGCUAAGAUGGAAUUGGUUUAGAUAUGGAACAAGUGGAAAUUUGUUUUGCUUGAUUUUACAAAAGGAGUAGGAGGAGGGGGAAGAAAAGGCAGAUUGGCAUUUGAAAAUUUUUAAUUUAACAUUUAAAAACAGUCUAGGACUUCUAGAUCAUCUGAGCAACAAGAAGGCAGAUUAGACAUUUUCUCUGCUCCUCACAAUUUUUCAAAUCUCUCCAAAACAGAAAUUAUGUGCCAAAGAUAAAGCAACUUCAGCCAGUUCCCAUGGCCUAGGACAAAGCUUCUUAAACUGUGGGUCACAGCUCCAGGGUCACAUAACUCAGUGUGGGGGUCAUGAAAUUAUGAUUUAUUAUCAGUAAAUAUUUGGGAGUCACAAAAAAUUCUCAGGCAAAAAGGAGUCAUAAGUGGACCGCUAAAGAAGCCCUGGCCUUAGAUACUCAGAAUCCAAAACAAGGUUAAAAAACAAACCCAGGAACUAAUACUGAACUCAUUCUGUAUUCUUCCCACUUCCCACACACCAGUAGUGGGGUUGCAUUAGCAAACCCAUCUCAUGGCACAGCACUGCAUAAAAACCCAUCCUUAUUCUCCAGUUUCCUCAUCCUCUUUCCAAUGCUAAGGAAAUUCUGAUUCCAGCUGCAAAACUUUGCUUGGGCCUCAACAGCCAGCUUGACCACAGUCCUUCCGAAAAGGAAGCCUGCCAGGGACUAUCACCCAAUGUUGUGCCCCAGUUCCAUUUUAAUGAUUGACCCAGUUUCCCUAAUUGUCCUAUUCACUUACUCUGCCUCAGGUUACAACCAUUCCCUCUUAAUGUUAGGAUAAAGGUCUUAUAUCUAAGACCUUAGGCUAUAAUCAUUCCCUCAUGUUUGAUGGAAUAAAGGUCUUUACCCAUUUUAGACAUCAUUAGAAUAUCAGAAGCCUCUCCAGUACCUCCUAUUAUGUCAUCCUAGGUGCCUCCCCCCAUUAAGUCAGCCCCAUCCAGGUAACUCCCCCAUUAUAUCAUUGGUUUUUGUUACCCUAUGAAAAAAUCUUGUAUUUGACAUUCAUUCUGGAUUUUUUGAGACAAUAGUCUCAUUCAGCCCUGGGACCAAACACGGAUCCAUUUGGUCCCAGUAAAUCUCUCCAUUAAAUAAAUUAUUAAAUUGUUCUCUAGUCUCUGUCUUGCUCAGUUUCUCCGGCAUUACACCAAAAGCUUUAAUGCUGCAAAUCUCUCUGACCUAGUCUGCUGAACUAUGAAUUGUGUGAGAGGGGACUAAGAUACUUUUGAUGGAGAAUAGCUUCUAGGGGAAACAGAAUUAGAUUCCUCAUACACACAUUAGAGUGCUUCUGUUCUAACAAUCUGUCAACAAUUCUAAAAUCUUCUGGCUUUACAAUGAUCCCAAAGUUCACACACACACACACCUUAGAGUACUAUUGUUCUAACAAUCUGUCCAUCAAUGAUUGUAAACGUCUUCUGGUCACUAGAAAUAAUAUAAUAUUUCUUCCUUUAGAUUGUAGGGAAGAUGUACUAGAGAUCCUGAGAUCCUCUGAUCUUAGAAUGCUAUUGUCCUGACAAUUUGUCAAUGAUUCUAAAGUCUUCUGGUCUUAGAAUAGUCCUAUAAACAUUGCUAUCAAAUACACAAUCUGCUGGGCAGUGAUAACCAAAUUCCUGGGACCACUCCUCAGUUCUACCUCUAGGCCAUAAAAUUAGCAUAUCAGUGACUUGAAGAACUGAAUAAAUUUGUCUCCUUGAUCCUGGUUCUUUCCUAAAUUGGUCCCUUCUCAACUUCAACACUUGGGGAUCCAGCCCCUAAGGAAGUACAAUCAGAAGGGAGGGAGUCAGAAAGUGCAUGAUAAGAAAAAUAAGGUGGGAGGAAAAGACCAAAUAUUUCAGUAAGAAAAAAAUUCAAAGACUUUGGACAUGAAUAAAUAAGUCAACAGGAAAAAUAGUAACAACAAAAGAAAAUAUGGCCUUCAGAUCUAGCAAACAAAUUUAGGCAUCUAUGAACAAACACUACAGUGUUAAGGAAAGUGAUAAUAACAUUUGAUAAGAAGAGGAUCCUGUGGAAUUGGAGAUCAUAUAACCAAAACAACAUGUUCCUGAGUGGUUUAAAAGAAAAAUGAGAAUUAUGAGAGCUGAAUUUGUGUUCUGCACAGAAAAAAAUGAGUAAAAUAGAAAAACUGAAAUCUGCAAUGGCAAAUCUUACCAAAGAAACAUAAGAGAGAAUAGAUUGGAAAUGCAAAUAUACAAGUGGGAAAGACAACCCAGAAGAAGAGAAGCAAAAACAAUAAUAGUAAAGUAUGCAAGUAAAUUCAUACAAGUAUACUAUUCUUGUCGAUAGGAUGUGUAAAAAUAAUCUAAGGAUCACAGGUCUCUCAAAAGACAAAAAACCUUAACAGCAUAAUGAAGGAAAUAAUAGAAAAGAACUUCCCAGAAUUUCUAAACACAUAAAAUGAAUUCCAAUUGAAAGAAUUCACAGAUCACCUGGGGUGUAGGGAAGAGGAGAACCAAGGCUACAAACUCCUAAAUAUAAGUACUUAAAUUUAACAAUUUAAUUCAGAAACAAUAAGUUCUACAAGAUAUCAGAAGACCUUCAAAUACAAAGGAAAGGACAUUUGAAUAAUAUAAGAUUACUCUGAACCACUAGAAAAAAGAGGAGGGAAUAGAAUGUGACUAAAGAACAUUAGAGUUCAGAAAACAGCCCAAAGAUCUAUCCUGCAAAUCUGAGCUUAACCAUACUGGACAAAAGAUAGACUUGCAAUAAUAAAAAAGAGUUUGAAACGUUUUAGAAAAAAAACUAGAAGUGAGGAGAGUGUUUGCAUCUUGAAUAUCCCAAAUGACAUAAAUGCAGGAGAACUGAAUAAAUGCAACAGACCAGGACAACAACAAAGGAAGUGACAAUAGAAAGAUUAGUAAGACACUUCUUUCAAAGGUACCCAAGAAGACAGAAGUGAAGGUGAAAAUCUGAUAGAUAUGAUAGCAAAAAAAAGAAAGUGGGUAUUAUGGGCUUGUGAUACCCAGCCUACAGGCGAAUGCUUCUUUAUUGAGACUACAUGGUACAUGGAGAGAGAAUGGCAAGGAGAAGGUGAUAAUAUGAUUUGUCAAGGUCAGAUCAAAGGCUAUCAAUGAAAAGGUAACUCCAUGGUCUCAAAAAUAGAAGAACCUAUAGGGGAAUAAGGAAAACAGAUAGACUAAAAACAAGGAAGAAAAGGAGACAUUGUUCUACUGAUGAGAGCACCUCAAGGUGAAAAGAAAUGAUUGAUGAAGGGAUACGAGGACUUUGGACUGGAUUAAAGCCUUAAGUAUUUAGUGCUUGAAAAGUCUUCUUGUCCUGGGAAAGGGACAAUUGGAACAACUGGCAUGUGGAAGGAUGGGAGAACAUGGACUUAGGAUAUUUCCUAGAAAAUAUAGAAAAAAGGGCUAAUUAGAGAAAAUAUAGGUCAGGACUGGGGUCCUCUCAUAAAGUGUCUUUUAAGAUAACUUCGAUAAUCAGUAUUAUUCUGAAAGUAAGGCACAAUAGAAAGAGAGAAACCAUGGCUAUAGCAGAAAGCACUUAGUGGGGAGAGCCUAGAAUGAAUAUCUUGGAAGCUUUGAUGGAAUGAAGAAUUUAGAGAAAAGGGAGAGAUCAGAUUAUUUUGGGGGGUCAUGAAUUAGAAAAUUAGGGUAUAACAAGUAAAUGGAAAGAGAAGAUGGAUAAUAAAAUGAGAGAAAUCCUUUUUGCAAAGGGGAACAGAAGAAUAAAAUGUUUUAAAAAAAACAAACAACUAAUGAACAUGAUUAGCUGGAAGAUAGAAGAGAAAGGGGAAAUCUACUUGACUAACUGAAAGGAAAUAGGAGGAGAGAAAUAUAUGACCACAUAAAAGCAGGACAGAAAAGGGAACUAAUAAACAAAACCAUAAAGGGAAAGAGGCAACAAAUUAGAAGAGGGGAUCGGGGUGAGGGUAAGAGAAUAGGAACAAGAUCACCUUUAAAAAGACUAAAGUAACUGGAGGAACAUAAUACUGUGUUUAUGACAGAAAGAGGGGAAUCAUAACUUGAAAAAAAUUGAAAAAAUAAUGAAGUAAAAAUCAGACAAAGGAAAAUAUAAAUCUAUUACAACUUUAAAUGUGAAUGGAUAAAACAAUUAUAGAUAGGCAUUCAUAGAAGAUAAAGUGGACAAUUUUGAUUACAUUGAAUUUAAAAGUUUCUGCACAAGCAAAUCCAAGACUGCUAAGAUUAGAAAGAAACAGGUAUCUGGAAAAAAUAAUUUUUGUAGUAAUUUUCUCUAAUGAAAAUUUCCAAAUUUUCUCUCAUUUCCGAAAUAUAUAUAUGAACUAUUUAAACUUGAAAGAAUAAAUAUCAUUCCCCAGUUGAUAAAGGGUCAAAGGAUAUGAACAAAGAAUUAUCAAGGGAAGAAACUGUGAAGAAUGAAAAGUUUGAGAGACAUAAUUUCUGAGUAUCUAACUCUCAUUUUAUUAAUUAUGGCCAAAAAAAUAAUAAAAGAUUAAUAGCACUCUCAGAAGCUAAAGAUAAAUCAUAGAGGUCCCUCAACAUUUAAAUACCUUUGGAGAAUGGCUGUAUGGUUCAAGCAGAAAUCAAUUCUUUGGUUAUAACUUGUUGGUCGCUGUCCUUCAUUCACAAAGAGGACCAAAAUGGCAUCACUAUAUUAGAAUCAAGUUACAAUGUGUCUGAGUAUGGCUGAUGAGACCAAUAUGAGCUCAGAAUGCUCUAUUACCAGUUGGGUGCAUGUUUCUUUAGAAUGAUUUCAUUUCUGCUUUGUUCAGAGAGCACAGCACCUUCUCUGAUGAGGACCUGCUAUGGCAGUCCUGUGCCAGUGUCUGCCAUGUCAUACAAUCAAUUCUAAAGUUCUUAAGAGAGACCUUGAGAGUGUCCUUUUAUCACUUGUUUCUGACCAUCUUGUGAGUCCUUGCCCUGUGUGAAUUCUACAUAAAAUAAUUUUUUUGGCAAACUUACAAUUGGCAUUUGAACAAUGUGGCCAGCCCAAUGGAGUUGUGCCCUUUGCAGCAGAGCUGGAAUGCUUGGCAGUUUAGUUUGAGAAAAGAUCUCAGUAUCUGGUAUUUUAUCCUGCCAGAUAAUUUUCAGAAUCUUCCUAAGACAAUUCAAAUGGAAGUGAUUUGGUUUCCUCAUGGUACUGAUGUACUGUCCAGGUUUCACAGGCAUACAACAAUGAGGUCAGCACAAUGGCUCUGUAGAUCUUCAAUUUGGUAGUCAGUCUAAUACCUCUUCUCUCCAACACUUUCCUUCAGAGUUCCCAAAAUACUGGCAAUGGAUGUGUCAACCUUAUUGUUAAUGUGUACAUCCUAGAAAAUAUACUGCCAAGGUAAAUGAACUUACAUCCACAGCAUUCAAAACUUCUGCAUUUGCUAUAACUCUGAAGAUUAAAGAAAGAGAAAAAGGAUACAUACAAAAAUAUUUAUAGCAGUUCUUUUUGUAGAACUAAAAACUAAGAGAGCCCAUUAACUGGGAAUGGCUGAACAAAUUAUGGUACAUUAAUAUAACAGAAUACUAUUAUGUGAGAAAUGACAAGGGGAGUACCAGCCUUGAAGUCAGAAGGACCCGAGUUCAAAUCUGGCUAAUCCUGGGCAAGUCACUUAACCCCAACUGCCGCAGGAAGGAAGGAAGGAAAGAAGGAAGGAAGGAAGGGAGGGAGGAAGGAAAGGAAGGAAAGGAAAGGAAAGGAAAGGAAAG